rnacentral:hammerhead_ribozyme from 1 species
AGGCGAAACGGGGGAUUCGUCCCCUGUCUGGAAGGGAGUGGUCGCCCUUUCACUGAUGAGCCAGACCAAA